rnacentral:rRNA from 1 species
AUAUCAAUAAGCGGAGGAAAAGAAACUAACAAGGAUUCCCCUAGUAACGGCGAGUGAAGCGGGAAAAGCUCAAAUUUAAAAUCUGGCUGUCUUAGAUAGUCCGAGUUGUAAUCUGGAGAAGUGUUUUCUGCGCUGGACCGUGUACAAGUCUCUUGGAAUAGAGCGUCAUAGAGGGUGAGAAUCCCGUCUUUGACACGGACUACCAGGGCUAUAUGAUACACUCUCGAAGAGUCGAGUUGUUUGGGAAUGCAGCUCAAAAUGGGUGGUAAAUUCCAUCUAAAGCUAAAUAUAGGCGAGAGACCGAUAGCGAACAAGUACCGUGAGGGAAAGAUGAAAAGCACUUUGGAAAGAGAGUUAAACAGUAC